rnacentral:misc_RNA from 1 species
UUACGGUUUGACUGUGAGUAGCAAUCGGACGUGUUUAAAAGAGCAGUGCGGGAACUUGUUCGCUUUGCUUCAGCGGAAUUUUAUCCAUUUAUAGACAAAAACUUAUUUCAUACAUACAUAUACUACAUACAAAAAAAUAUAUAUUUUACUUGUUUCUUCGCUGUUGUGGUGAGCAUCGAUUGCGUCCGUGCUUUAAGUUAAACUGUUUCAGAUAUACACAUUUCAAACAAUCUUAAUUGAUAAAAAACUGCGAAUGUACAUCAAUUAAUGUAUCAUAAUUCAAACGGUCGCAUUACCUCAAAACAUCAUUUCACCAACUAUAAUAUGGCUCCGCUCAUGCAGAUUCUCCUGAAAGCUUUGAUUGGAUUAAUAUGCGUUAGAAUUAACAUCCUAGUCAGUGCUUCCUUUCCCUAUUAUGGUACAAAAAUAGGUGCUUUAACACGACUACACCACGGCGUUUCGGGGGACGUGUAUGCCGUUGAUUCUCGUACAUUAUUUAUCAAAAACUUUAAUUAUGAUGGCGAGGCGCCAGCGGCGUACUUCUAUGUGGGAAGCACAGCGAAACCUAGCAACGACGGAGCACAACGCCUAAGAGAUGAACGAGGAGGAGUUACUGCCCUUAAUCGACGUUAUCGGAACAAAGAUAUAACAUUACCGCUACCCGAUGGAAAAACAUUACGUGACUUUAAAUGGUUUUCGGUUUGGUGUGAUGAGUUCGCCGUAAAUUUUGGUCACGUUUCUAUUCCAGGUGAUUUGGAUUUUCCUCGACCUCAAAAAAUUGCAUCUUUGAAGGGCGUACAUGCUGUGUCUUCAGAUAAUAUUGUAAUUGUGGAUGCGCAAACCCUUUUAAUACCAAACUUUAGCUACGAUGGUGAAGCACCAGAUGCCAAAUUCUGGGUCGGUCGUGGACACCGACCCAGUCCUCAAGGUCUCCGCAUACCUGAUGAGAAUGGGAAAGAAAUUCCACUACGGCGCUAUGAUCGCAAAACUAUUGUGCUCACUUUACCCGAUGACUUAACAAUAUUUGACAUAGGACACUUUGGGGUUUGGUGUGAAGCUUUCACAGUCGACUUUGGCCAUGUUCGCAUACCGGAGGGAUUAAACGUGCCACCAUCAUUAAAAAUGCUUGGUAUUAGCCCGCAGUCGAGAUUAAAUUGUGAAGUUCUAUAUGAUGAUUUAGCAUUUGAAGUGAGAUGGGCCGUUGCGGGCGAUAGUAUUGUCAUACAACUUAUUGCGAAAUUAGACGAUAACGAAUACAUGUCCUUUGGUGUUUCUAAAAAUCACGAGGAAAGCAAAAUGAUUGGCUCUGAUGUUGUAGUUGCUUGGGUUGAAAAAGAUACUGGUAAAGGUUUUGCAGUGGAUUAUUACUUGAGCGAUAAAUCGCAAUGUUCUGGUGGACUUGGUGUAUGUCCUAAAGUUAAUAUCGAGAACGGUACAAACACAAUACGUUUACUAAAUGCUGCAUGGGUAAAUGGAUAUUCCAUCGUCACCUAUCAACGAUCUCUGCAAUCCAAUAACACAUUAGAUGUACCGAUUCUAGUAAAUUUGUCUCAAGCAAUCGUUUGGGGAAUAGGUCCACUUAAUGAACGUAAUGAAGCCUCAUACCACACAUAUUUUACACGAUAUUCCACUCGAAUUGAUUUUGGCCGACAGCCCAUUUGGAAUUGUCCUUCACCUGAAGGCUCGAAAACAGGUGGUGAAAGUGAAGAGGAUAGUUAUGAUGAUAAUGAACAAAGUAAUCUUCAGAGUUACUCAGCUCAUAGAAUAACUUUAAGUUCAAAUAAUACACAGUCUGAAGAGUUUUACGAUAAUCGUCCACAAGCAUUACAAAGCCCAAGCAGACGCCAAGAGACGCGACCUUUACAACAAGCACGUCCUCAUCAACAGCCUAUUCCAACGCCAAAGCCUACUAGCACCAAUGGAGCCUGGGAUAUUCCUGCUAUACAAUGCUAUGAGCCCGAAGAUGGGGUAUUUUAUGCACAGAUGGGUCCCACAGGAGGGAAACAUGGUUACUCUGCAAUAACAGGACAUGUUGGUUGGGGUAUAUCUUGGUAUAUAAAUGGAUUACUUAUACCAGAAAUUAAUGUUGUGCGUGGAAAAACGUAUACAUUUGUGGUAGAAGGUGGUAUUGAUGCCGAUAUACCUGCAAAAUACCAUCCAUUUUACAUUACCGAUGACUCUGUAGGUGGCUACGAACAUAAAAGAGAGGAAGACAAAAAGUCCGUUCGCAUAUUUGCUGGUGUACAUCGAUCUCGUUCUGGUCAAGUGUCACCGACUGGAGUUGGUCGGCUUUGCAAUUGGACUCCGGAUGUUGAUGGCCCACCUGCAGAUGAUUAUCAAUCGUUCGGUGCUUAUCAACGUACUCUUACUUUAAAAUGUGAUAUAGGUGAACCCGGUGUCAUAACAUGGACUCCCGAUCGAAAUACCCCAGAUACCGUUUAUUAUCAGUGUUUUACACAUCGUUACUUGGGUUGGAAAAUUCACGUUCACGAUACUUGCGAUGAUUCAGAGUUUUCUGCAUCAGCUUCGGAGAAGCACGAAGAGCUCGCGCCGCAUUUUAAUCCUGCUGAUGCUGAUGCCGAAGCAUCGAUUCGUCAUGAAACCAAGAUGGAAUCCGAGCUGCUGAAGCUCUCGAGCAGAGCAUAAUAAAGAACACAAACAUCAACAACGCAAAUAUCAGUAUGAGCACCAUUCCGAAAAUAAAAUAUGAUAAUCCGAUGGAAAUUUCACAUACGCAAUUUCAGCAGCAAUCUAAUAUGAAACCAGUGACAAGCAUUAAGAAAAACGCUGUAGAAACAAUUUCCCUUGCUGAAACACCGCAAGAAACUUUACAAUUGGGACCACUUAUUUCUACAGCAGUGCCGGAAAUUUUACAUGGCGAAAAUUAUGUCAACUUGAAUGAAAAAAAUCCACAAAUAUUUUCAAAAGCGAGUUCUAAAAAAACACUAUCAUCCACAUCAUCAAUUCCUCUAAAUCUUUUGCAUCAUCAUUCACAACAUACAAAAUCUCACAAUCAUUUAUAUAACCUUACUAAUAUUCCAGCACAAAAACCCAUAGGUCUAUCUGAGUUUCUUCGACCACCUCAGAACGCUGAACUCUUACAUGCCGUCAAAUUACCAGGACGACGUCCACUACUCAGACCCCUCAAGAAGUUGCCAUCGGCUAAACCUUUACUACCAUAUUUGCCUCAACGUGCGCCACAAAUUUCCAUACAACCUGUGCCACAACCAUCCGUUAUAGUUAGCCAUUACCCUGCUUCCGUAUUAUUGCUUGGUGAACCAACGACUUUGAAUGAACAUCGGAAAAAUGAAGCGCCAUUGGUACAUACAAAAUUAAGCUCCAGUAUACCUGUACCAUACAAUGAUACUGUACCACAAGAAUCAAAUACGACUAUUAUUUUUGUUAACAAUGAAAGUCAUACAAAUUCAAAAAAACAUGAUAAACCCAAGUCAACAAAGAUUAAGAAUGGAUUUAAGCCCGAUUCAGUAGUAAUAGAAAGUGGUUUUCGACCAAUUAUACGUACAGAUGGUCGCCCUCAACAUCUCAUCAUAAAUCAAAUAGCUCAUCGUCGCGAAGAUCCGGGAUUGGAAAUUGACGAAGUAAUGGAGACGGACACACUCUUCCUUACAGCGCAAAAAGUUACACAAACACAAAAUUUUGAACCAAUGUUUAUUCCAUCACCUCUCGAUAGCACCAAUGUAACUAAUAUGAUACAUAAUGUUGUUUUAUCUUCGCCAAGUUCGAAUCUAAAUGAGCUUAGCUUAAAUAUAUCAGAAAAUUUCCCUAAUAGUGCUAAAUUCCACAAUUUGACAAUAGAGGAUAAUUUAUCAGAAAUGGAGGAUGAGCGUAGCGAAGCCACUGGCAAUUUUGAUGGUGCAGUGACAAAAACAUCCAUGAAAAAUGAUAAACCAGACGAAGAUUCAUUGAUUGAGCCGGGAAACCAGAGUUUGUUUAUCGAAGAUAUAAUGUCCGAAAUGGAACAAAUCGAUGAUGAGAACGACCGAGAAGCUCAAGCUGCAGAGCGCAUAGACACAUAUUAUCUUCCACCAGAUAAUCGUAAGAUUCCACAUUCCAGUUUACCAAGCGGCGCUGUUGUUACAUUUGACGGGAAAUCCAUAGUAGAUGGUAAUUUAGUGUUGCCACCCAAAUUGGAAACUUUUGAAAGCACAAAUCCGAGGCGACAAGCACACGGUCUCUCCCAAAUUGAGCAGCUCAUCAGAAGUACACCUCAAGUUCAGCCGUUCCGAGGAGAGAUACCACAACCAGUUGUCGAGUUUUUAUCGAAUGAACGCUCACGAAAUCGGGUCACCGGUUCAGGUGGUGGGGGAAUGGUAGGUGCAAUAGGUUUUGAGAACCCUGGUCCAUAUUUACCUUUGACUUCGCUUUCACCACCACGAGUUCAUUCAACUAAAUUACAAUUAUUGCACUCAUCCACUUAUAGACAAUAGCGUAAAUUAAAUGGAAAUGCUAC